CCUACGGGUGGCAGCAGUGAGGAAUAUUGGUCAAUGGCCGCAGGGCUGAACCAGCCAAGUCGCGUGAGGGAUGACGGUCCUCUGGAUUUUAAACCUCUUUUUUCAGGAAGCAAAGGGCGCCACGUGUGGCGCUUUGCGAUUACCUUACGAAAAAGCAUCGGCUAACUCCGUGCCAGCCGCCGCGGUAAUACGGAGGAUGCGAGCGUUAUCCGGAUUUAUUGGCGUUAAAGGGUGCGCAGGCGGAAUGUCAAGUUCACGGGAAAAUUUCGGGGGUCAACCCCGUCGUGCCAUUGAAACUGGCGGUCGUGAGUGAGCGAGAAGUAGGCGGAAUGCGUGGUGUAGCGGUGAAAUGCAUAGAUAUCACGAAGAACACCGAUUGCGAAGGCAGCAUACCGGAGCUCAACUGACGCUCAUGCACGAAAGCGUGGGUAUCGAACAGGAUUAGAUACCCGUGUAGUC
rnacentral:rRNA from 1 species